GGUCUGUGGAGGUACUGCAGGGGUUCUCAAUCCGGGGUCUGUGGAGGUACUGCAGGGGUUCUCAAUCUGGGGUCUGUGGAGGUACUGCAGGGGUUCUCAAUCCGGGGUCUGUGGAGGUACUGCAGGGGUUCUCAAUCCGGGGUCUGUGGAGGUACUGCAGGGGUUCUCAAUCCGGGGUCUGUGGAGGUACUGCAGGGGUUCUCAAUCCGGGGUCUGUGGAGGUACUGCAGGGGUUCUCAAUCCGGGGUCUGUGGAGGUACUGCAGGGGUUCCACGGCACCCUGACUGUACUCGUUG